rnacentral:rRNA from 1 species
UACGUAGGGUGCAAGCGUUGUCCGGAAUUAUUGGGCGUAAAGAGCUCGUAGGCGGUUUGUCGCGUCUGACUGUGAAAACCCGAACGGCUCAACCUCGGGCCUGCAGUGGGUACGGGCAGGCUCGAGUUCGGUAGGGGAGACUGGAAUUCCUGGUGUAGUGGUGAAAUACGUAGAUAUCUGAAGGAACACCGGUGGCGAAGGCGGCGAUCUGGGUCGAGUACUGACGCUGAGGUGCGAAAGCGUGGGGAGCAACAGG